rnacentral:rRNA from 1 species
UCGACGGAGUUAUCAUUUCGAAGCAAUUAGCUUGCUAAGAGUGGAAGAGAGGAUAACUUAGUGGCGGACGGGUGAGUAACGCGUGGGGAACCUGCCCUGCACCGGGGGAUAACACCUGGAAACAGGUGCUAAUACCGCAUAAGCGCACGAGGCCGCAUGGCCAGGUGUGAAAAACUAAGGUGGUGCAGGAUGGACCCGCGUCUGAUUAGCUUGUUGGUAGGGUAACGGCCUACCAAGGCGACGAUCAGUAGCCGGCCUGAGAGGGUGAACGGCCACAUUGGGACUGAGACACGGCCCAAACUCCUACGGGAGGCAGCAGUGGGGAAUAUUGGACAAUGGGGGAAACCCUGAUCCAGCGACGCCGCGUGAGUGAAGAAGUAUUUCGGUAUGUAAAGCUCUAUCAGCAGGGAAGAAAAUGACGGUACCUGACUAAGAAGCCCCGGCUAACUACGUGCCAGCAGCCGCGGUAAUACGUAGGGGGCAAGCGUUAUCCGGAUUUACUGGGUGUAAAGGGAGCGUAGACGGCAUAGCAAGUCUGAUGUGAAAGAUCGGGGCUCAACCCCGGGCCUGCAUUGGAAACUGUUAAGCUGGAGUACAGGAGAGGUAAGCGGAAUUCCUAGUGUAGCGGUGAAAUGCGUAGAUAUUAGGAGGAACACCAGUGGCGAAGGCGGCUUACUGGACUGUAACUGACGUUGAGGCUCGAAAGCGUGGGGAGCAAACAGGAUUAGAUACCCUGGUAGUCCACGCCGUAAACGAUGAUUACUAGGUGUCGGUGGGCAUGGGCCCA